rnacentral:siRNA from 1 species
GGAUUGUCAGUUAUUCUUGGU